rnacentral:sRNA from 1 species
AUGUCAUAUGUCAGGUUACUUUUCUAAUUUCUUUUAGGCUGGUCAUUGAUUGGUUCAACGUGCAAUAAAGUUUACAGCAGAAGAUUAACUUGGGAUGGAGCAUACAAUGCAUGCAAACUCCAUGGAUCUGACUUAGUUCAAGUAAAAGAUGCUCAUAUCAAUAAUGACAUAGGAUUACUAGCAAAAUCUAAUUUAUUAUCAAAUUAUUGGAUUGGUCUUAGAAGUAAAACAAAGUCUAAUUUAACUGAUGCUGCUGAAUGGUCUGAUGGCACCACAUGGUCUUUGUAUCAAGGGUU